rnacentral:rRNA from 1 species
UACAUGGGGUGCAAACGUUGCUCGGAAUUAUUGGGCGUAAAGCGCGCGUAGGCGGUUACUUAAGUCGGAUGUGAAAGCCCUCGGCUUAACUGAGGAAGUGCACCCGAAACUGAGUAGCUAGAGUACGAAAGAGGGUCGCGGAAUUCCCGGUGUAGAGGUGAAAUUCGUAGAUAUCGGGAGGAACACCGGUUGCGAAGGCGGCGUUCUGGACUGCAACUGACACUGAGGAACGAAAGCCAGGGGAGCAAACGGG